AGAGCAUGAAUUUAAACCACUGUAUUACCGGACCAGCCCGAAGUACAAUAUGUUUUAAAAGAACCACGAUAUGACCUUAUAUUGAACUUUAAAAAUAUCUGACGUUGUCUUUUCUAUGCCUAACAGAAAUUUUACCAUGAAUAAAAUAAUGACAUUCAUGGAAUGAGAGUUAACGUUUUUUGAGUGCUGCUCCUGUGCCAAGGAUGAAACUAGACACAUCAAUGGUACGGAAUAGAAAGAACUGUCCUUGUUAUAUAGAUAAGAAAUUUGAAAGCCAAAGAGCUUAAAUAGAGUUCAAAAGUCACACAGCAGAAAAACUAGACUUAUUACAAGCCAUGUCUAUUUGACUUUUAAGUCUAUGGUCUUCCUUUGCAUCAUACAUUUUCUUUGCUUCCUUCUCCAUUUUGUGCUCUUAUUAUGUUUAAACCCAUAGAAUCGAAAUUGUAAACUCAUAAACAGACAUGGCAGAAUCAGUACUUUUAAUUUCUACUGUCCAAUGUUCUUAUUAUAUUCACCUCCAUUUUAAAACAUCCCCCAAAAGACAGAUAAAACAUACAUAUAUAUAGCAAAAAAAAUUUGUUUUUUCUACCUGACAUUGUUUACAAAGUGUGUACUUUGGGUGUACUGUACCACAGAAAGUUUGUAUAUGUUUACAUUUGGAAUAUUGAGUGCAAUUUCAAUGCUUUGCAUCGCAGAUUAUGGACAUAAUUUAUUUCUGUGAACUCCUAGAAAUAUAUUUUCUUCCUUUCUUUUUCUUUUCUUUUUUUGUCUAAUUUUGGAGAAAUUAAACAAAGUGACUUCUGCCUCAGAGGGUUUUCACAAGCAAGAGAUAUCUUUAUGCAGUGAUUGAAGUCCAUCUUCCACGGCUCUCUAUUUCAGCUCCUGUGCGUCCGCCCACAGCCUGCUUGUCUUCCCCAUCCACACCUCUGUGUCAGACAGUGACAUUAUCAUUUUUUACUGAAUCCAGCUUUCGUUUGCCUGCUUCUGAGAUUUUGCUAAGGCUUUUCAUCUUUUUGGUAUGGAUUCAACUUGUCGUACUUGAAUCUACUUUUAGGAUUUCACUAAGGUAAUUUUCUUGAUUUUAAAAUGAUAUUUUUACUCAUUUCAAAAGAAUACACUUAUAAUAUUUCUAGAGAAUAAAAAUGUUUUGACUAAAAACUGAAUAUCA
rnacentral:lncRNA from 1 species